AUUCCGAAGACUGUGGGGCGGAUCAAGCUAGACUGCCCUCUACGGCCCAGCUGCCCACUGGAGGUCGCUGCUGUACCCAAACUUUGCAAGGAAUUCGGUCCAGAGGAUUACGGCGAAGAGGUAAAAACGACCCCCAGUUUCCCCCAGUCCUGCUCAUUUUGGUCACGCCUCUUUGAAGUCAGCUGUGCAGAAACCCGCGACGGAUGGGCGCCAGACGGGGCUCUGGAGGCUUUGGGGAGUUGUAGUCUCCGGCCAUGCCCUUGAGGAUCUUAGAUUACCUCCUGGGCCACUUGGAUGAUGAAGGGAAAUCAACUGGACAGAGUGACAGGGGCAAGGGGGCUGAGGGACUGGGCACCUACUGUGGUCUCCGCAAGUCCUUCCUGUAUCCUCCCCAAGAGUCUGAGCCCUGCCCUCAAAGCCCCUCUGCCUCUGCCACCUUCCCCAGUGUCUCAGACAGCCUGCUUCAGGUGGCCAUGCCCCAGAAGCUCCUGGUGACAGAAGAGGAAGCCAAUCGCCUGGCUGAGGAGCUGGUGGCUGAGGAGGAGCGCAUGAAACAGAAAGCAGAGAAAAAGCGACUCAAGAAGAAGCGUCAAAAGGAACGGAAGCGACAGGAGCGUUUGGAGCAGUACUGUGGGGAGCCCAAGGCCAGCACUACCUCAGAUGGAGAAGAGAGCCCCCCAUCCAGCCCUGGAAACCCAGUUCAGGGACAGUGUGGUGAAGAAGAGGACUCACUGGAUCUAUCUAGCACUUUUGUGUCUCUGGCUUUGCGCAAGGUUGGGGAUUGGCCCCUCAGUGCCCGCAGAGAGAAGGGACUGAACCAGGAGCCCGAAGGCAGGGGUCUGGCCCUCCAGAAGAUGGGUCAAGAGGAAGAGAGCCCUCCAAGAGAGGAGAGGC
rnacentral:sRNA from 1 species